rnacentral:rRNA from 1 species
GACGAACGCUGGCGGCGUGCCUAAUACAUGCAAGUCGAACGCAGUGGGGACGGGUGAGUAACACGUGGGUAACCUCCCAUCAGAGGGGAUAACACUUGGAAACAGGUGCUAAACCGAUACUGAUGGAUGGACCCGCGGUGCAUUAGCUAGUUGGUGGGGUAACGGCUCACCAAGGCCAAGAUGCAUAGCCGAGCUGGGAGGGUGAGCGGCCACAACUGGACUGAGAAACGGCCCAGACUCCUACGGGAGGCAGCCGUAGGGAAUUUUUGGCAAUGGACGAAAGUCCUACCGAGCAACGCCGCGGGAGUGAAGAAGGUUUUCGGAGUGGAAAACUCUGUUGUUAGAGAAGCGGUAACUAACCAGAAAGCCACGGCCAACCACGUGCCAGCAGCCGCGGUAAUUC